rnacentral:rRNA from 1 species
ACAUUGUUCUAAGAGUUAAAAAUAUUUAGAAUACAGCCUGCCCGGUGAGCAAAUUUUCAACGGCUGCGGUAUCCUGACCGUACAAAGGUAGCAUAAUCAUUUGCCUUUUAAUUGGUGGCUAGAAUGAAGGGUUAAACCAUCAAGAUGCUGUCUCAGUUAAGUUAUGUGAAAUUUAUGAUGUAGGUGAAGACACCUAUAUUUAAGGGAAAGACGAGAAGACCCCGAGAGCUUGUGGGUUAGUUUAAGGUGUAUUAAAUAAACUGGUUUUGUUGGGGCGACACGGGAGUAAUAAAAACCUCCUGUAAAAGUUAAAUACUACUAAAUCCAGCAUGGCUGAAUGAGGGAAAGUUACCUCGGGGAUAACAGCUUUAUUUUUCUUUGGAGACCAAAUCUGGAGAAAAGAUUGAGACCUCGAUGUUGGACUAGGGUAACCAGGAGGUGCAGAAGUUUCCUAGGGUAAGUCUGUUCGACUUUUAAAAUCCUAC